CAAAGAGUGCUCGCUUUGGCAUACUAAAAUUGGAACGAUGCAGAGAAGAUUAGCAUGGUCUCUAUGCAAGGAUGACAGGCAAAUUUGUGAAGCAUUCCAUGUUUUU